CGCAGGCAGGGCAGAGGCAAAGUCUGACCCCAGAACGGCUGCCACCUCUCCCAGUGGGACUCUGGCUGGCACCCCUGGGAACUUGCCGUUGACGCGUCUCUGCUUCCAAGGAUCUUCGAUUAUUCUUUGCAUCCUUGGCACACAGAGGCCAUAAUUCCUUCCAGAAUCCUUGACUUCUUUUCAGAUUUCUCGUCUUGCACGCUCUGUGUGCGUCAUGAGGGGGGGAUACACAGUGUGUGCUCCAGGAGAGAACUUGACAUGGACACAGGAAUAGACACUCCCUCACUGCCUCAGGGAAUCAGUGCCCCUGGCCUUGGGCUCAGCAGGUGGGAAGAAAGCACUCACCCUCCUCCGUGGACACCUCGGCUCCAAAGGUAUCACCUCCUACGCCACGGUUCCUCUGGGUCCGUGACUGCCUCGUUGGUGCUCAGGGGCUGCACAGAGCUCCCGGACCCCUGCUGGGAGAUGUUGGACUUCUAAGCAGUGACUCUCAUCUGACUGUCAUCGAGCACGCUAUACUGUCUUCUUUACGGCUGUUCACUCAUUCAGAAACGAUGUGGGGACACAGAGCAGGAGGCCGGCGGAGGCAGCUGAGGAGAAGCCGGAGAGGGGGAUCCAGGCAGCUCCGAGGCUGGAGAGGCAAAUGUGGGUGGACAUGCUCAGCAUCGUCAAACGUCCGUCUGCAAAUUAUUGCACAGGUGGCCUUGUGACUUUUCCCUGGAGGUGCUCGGGUGAGGACCGUUGUGGCAUAAGCGGGUAUCUGGGCUCAACCAGGGUUGGGCCAUUGCCAGGCGAGGAGUGACGGAAGGGAAAGCAGCCAGGAUGAGGGGAGAGGAGGUUGGGAUGUUUGCGUGGAGCCGACCCAUCCUGGGUGUGGCUUCCCCACGGGGGAAAGAAGGGGUGAGGGCAGCAGGGGUCCGCUGGGCAGCACAGGAAGUGUAAGUCGUUUGCCCAGCCCAGACCCUGGGGCAGUGGCAGAGGACUCCCCCAUUCCGGGUGUGAGCCGUGGGAGGAGGGACAGGCAGUGACACAGAGGCCCGGACACUGGGUCUCUGUGCGGCCUCGGGAGGGAUCCCAGCACGUUCAGCGGUGUCUUCUGGGCACACAAUCGAUAGGAAAUUUAGAAAAUGCGCAAGUCCGGAAAGAUGAAAACAGAAAACCCUGGCCACGCUACCGGCAGUGUGAUCUUUUUCCAUCCAGUCUUUUGAUGAAAACCGUGCGGAGACCCUGUUCUGCCAGCCUUCUUCACCAGCCGCGGACGGCAAGCGUCCUGCCAGGCGUUACGGAGCCAUCAGAGCGGUGGUUUUAGUGUCUGCCCGGAAUUCCGCUGUGGAAGUGGCCGUGUCGUCCCCGAUUUAACCCCUUGUUGUCCUCCCCUCCACGCGGACAUCGUGGUUCCUGUGCUAUGAGGCUUUCCUCUGACAUUCCCCGGGAGGCUGGCUUGGGGGUGAUGUGGCUGUUGGAGAGGCAUCCAGGGUCAAGGCUGGACACCUGGCCCAGACAGCUCAGGACGGCGCAGACCGUGGGUGGGGGGUGGUCCCUGGAGGCCAAGGGCAGAAUUUCGGGAGCCUCAGGGCCUGCAGACACACCUGGGGACCCGCAGGCACGGGCCACCGCAGCAGAGCUCAGGAGCACCUCGUCCCCCCAUUGCCAAGGCGACACGGAGGCCUCUGAUUGCCCAGGAGGAGGCCGGCUCUGCUUCGGGCCUUUUCGUAGCCUGCAGAGGUGUUUUCAUCCCCUCUGACCUGGUUUCCAUGGUUUCCGGUGUUGUUGUUGCGUUGUUUGUUUAAAAAGAAAACACACAGACUUACGUCACGAGGAGGCAGAGACGUCACAGCCAUCAGCUAAUAAAAAUGACCGAAAGCUAGUCCCCAGACCACGCACCCGCAGCGACGUCUCCCGAGUACGGCGGGACAGCUAAUGAGCCGUGCAGAGACGGGACGUGGAACGGAGCGGG